rnacentral:RNase_P_RNA from 1 species
GCAGUCCGCCGGACCGUCGCCCGCAAGGGAGGAAAGUCCGGGCACCGCAGGGAAGGAUGCCGGGUAACGCCCGGCGGGGGCAACCCUAGGGAAAGUGGCACAGAAAAGAUACCGCCCCGCAAGGGGUAAGGGUGAAAUGGUGGGGUAAGAGCCCACCGCUUGGCUGGUAACAGGCAAGGCAGGCUAAACCCCAUCCGGUGCAAGACCAAAUAGGCCAACCGUUUAACUGUGGCCCGCAGGUGGUUGGCGGGUAGGUUGCUAGAGACGGCCGGUAACGGCCGCCGUAGAUGAAUGACGGCCCUCGACAGAACCCGGCUUACAGGCGGACUGCCUUU